GAAAUGCGAUAAGUAGUGUGAAUUGCAGAAUUCAGUGAAUCAUCGAAUCUUUGAACGCACAUUGCGCCCUUUGGUAUUCCAAAGGGCAUGCCUGUUCGAGCGUCAUUUGUACCCUCAAGCUUUGCUUGGUGUUGGGCGUCUUGUCUCUAGCUUUGCUGGAGACUCGCCUUAAAGUAAUUGGCAGCCGGCCUACUGGUUUCGGAGCGCAGCACAAGUCGCACUCUCUAUCAGCAAAGGUCUAGCAUCCAUUAAGCCUUUUUUCAACUUUUGACCUCGGAUCAGGUAGGGAUACCCGCUGGACUUAAGC
rnacentral:misc_RNA from 1 species